UGGGGAAUAUUGCACAAUGGGCGAAAACCUGAUGCAGCGACGCCGCGUGAGGGAUGACGGCCUUCGGGUUGUAAACCUCUUUCAGCAGGGACGAAGCGCAAGUGACGGUACCUGCAGAAGAAGCACCGGCUAACUACGUGCCAGCAGCCGCGGUAAUACGUAGGGUGCAAGCGUUGUCCGGAAUUACUGGGCGUAAAGAGUUCGUAGGCGGUUUGUCGCGUCGUUUGUGAAAACCAGCAGCUCAACUGCUGGCUUGCAGGCGAUACGGGCAGACUUGAGUACUGCAGGGGAGACUGGAAUUCCUGGUGUAGCGGUGAAAUGCGCAGAUAUCAGGAGGAACACCGGUGGCGAAGGCGGGUCUCUGGGCAGUAACUGACGCUGAGGAACGAAAGCGUGGGUAGCGAACAGG
rnacentral:rRNA from 1 species